GGUAGCACAGAGGAGCUUGCUCCUUGGGUGACGAGUGGCGGACGGGUGAGUAAUGUCUGGGAAACUGCCCGAUGGAGGGGGAUAACUACUGGAAACGGUAGCUAAUACCGCAUAACGUCGCAAGACCAAAGAGGGGGACCUUCGGGCCUCUUGCCAUCGGAUGUGCCCAGAUGGGAUUAGCUAGUAGGUGGGGUAACGGCUCACCUAGGCGACGAUCCCUAGCUGGUCUGAGAGGAUGUCCAGCCACACUGGAACUGAGACACGGUCCAGACUCCUACGGGAGGCAGCAGUGGGGAAUAUUGCACAAUGGGCGCAAGCCUGAUGCAGCCAUGCCGCGUGUAUGAAGAAGGCCUUCGGGUUGUAAAGUACUUUCAGCGAGGAGGAAGGCGUUGUGGUUAAUAACCGCAACGAUUGACGUUACUCGCAGAAGAAGCACCGGCUAACUCCGUGCCAGCCGCCGCGGUAAAAGGG
rnacentral:rRNA from 1 species